UUGCCCGAAAAAUGGCUAUGCUGGAGUCGCAUCCUCGCCAUUGGCUCAAGAAUGGUUUUCAGCUUCUGGCUCCGAUGCCGGACA
rnacentral:sRNA from 1 species